AGAGAAGCGGAGGGAGUGGCUGUGGAAAGACGUCCAUGAUUUCGCCACAGUGAGUUUCCUAUCAUUUAUCGUUUCCCGGUACUGCUAGAAGAUGUCUCAGCAUGUCUUCUUGUCUGCCACGCGCCACAAUAAGAGUCCCAGGAAAAUCUCACUGUCGGGUUCACCACACUCUCCCCCACACUCAAAGGUUUACUCUUUCCCAGGUAAUGUAAACUGUAACUUUGUUUUGUGCAAAUAUAUUGUCCGUUUCAUUCCACUUCACUCAGUCAUGGCUGAGCAUAUAACCAACAGGCCAAUUAAGUGCUUAAUCAAGAAACUGACUGACUGUAAACUGAGAGGAGCAAGACAACCUGAUUGGAUCAAACUUUGGUGAGGAGAAUUACAUGUCAGUAAACUUAACUACUCAAAAAUUAUUGAGGGUGGUAAAACCAGAUUCAGUUGUACAAUGCACACUAUAUUUAGAUUUUGCUGUGUGUGUGUGUGUGUGUAUGUGUGUGUGUGUGUGUGUGUGUGUGUGUGUGUGUGUGUGUGUAA